CCCGGGAUAGGCCCAGGGAAACCUGGAUUAAUACCGGAUGAGACGGGACCCGCGAUGGCGGGACCCGGGAAAGGCGCUGCGGCGCCGCCGGGGGAUGAGUCUGCGUCCCAUUAGCGUAGACGGCGGGGUAACGGCCCACCGUGGCGACGAUGGGUAGCCGGCCUGAGAGGGUGGACGGCCACAUUGGAGCUGAGACACGGUCCAGACUCCUACGGGAGGCAGCAGCUAAGAAUCUUCCGCAAUGGGCGAAAGCCUGACGGAGCGACGCCCCGCGUGAACGAAGAAGGCCGUGAGGUUGUAAAGUUCUUUUCGGGAGGGGGAACAACCGUGGCAGGGAAUGGCCGCGGGAUGACGUGAAUCCCGGAAUAAGCCCCGGCUAACUACGUGCCAGCAGCGGC
rnacentral:rRNA from 1 species